CCUACGGGAGGCUGCAGUAGGGAAUAUUGCUCAAUGGGGGAAACCCUGAAGCAGCAACGCCGCGUGGAGGAUGAAGGUUUUCGGAUUGUAAACUCCUUUUGUUAGAGAAGAUCAUGACGGUAUCGAACGAAUAAGCACCGGCUAACUCCGUGCCAGCAGCCGCGGUAAUACGUAGGGUGCAAGCGUUACUCGGAAUCACUGGGCGGAAAGAGCGCGUAGGCGGGAUAGCAAGUCAGAUGUGAAAUCCUAUGGCUUAACCAGAGGACUGCAUUUGAAACUGUUAUUAUAGAGUAUGGGAGAGGUAGGUGGAAUUCUUGGUGUAGGGGUAAAAUCCGUAGAGAUCAAGAGGAAUACUCAUUGCGAAGGCGACCUGCUAGAACAUAACUGACGCUGAUGCGCGAAAGCGUGGGGAGCAAACAGGAUUAGAUACCCGGGUAGUC
rnacentral:rRNA from 1 species